rnacentral:rRNA from 1 species
CAGAGCCACGGUAAUACGGAGGGUGCAAGCGUUAAUCGGAAUUACUGGGCGUAAAGCGCACGCAGGCGGUCUGACAAGUCAGAUGUGAAAUCCCCGGGCUUAACCUGGGAACUGCAUUUGAAACUGUCAGGCUGGAGUCUUGUAGAGGGGGGUGGAAUUCCAGGUGUAGCGGUGAAAUGCGUAGAGAUCUGGAGGAAUACCGGUGGCGAAGGCGGCCCCCUGGACAAAGACUGACGCUCAGGUGCGAAAGCGUGGGGAGCAAACAGGAUUAGAUACCCGCGUAGUCCCUGUCUCUUAUACA